AACAGCCUGCCCACCCUGGAA
rnacentral:sRNA from 1 species